rnacentral:rRNA from 1 species
GAGUUUGAUCAUGGCUCAGGACGAACGCUGGCGGCGUGCUUAACACAUGCAAGUCGAACGGAAAGGCCCUUUCGGGGGUGCUCGAGUGGCGAACGGGUGAGUAACGCGUGGGUGAUCUGCCCUGCACUUUGGGAUAAGCCUGGGAAACUGGGUCUAAUACCGGAUAGGACUCCGGGAUGCAUGUCUUGGGGUGGAAAGCUUUUUGCGGUGUGGGAUGGGCCCGCGGCCUAUCAGCUUGUUGGUGGGGUGAUGGCCUACCAAGGCGACGACGGGUAGCCGGCCUGAGAGGGUGUCCGGCCACACUGGGACUGAGAUACGGCCCAGACUCCUACGGGAGGCAGCAGUGGGGAAUAUUGCACAACGGGCGCAAGCCUGAUCCAGCCAUGCCGCGUGUGUGAAGAAGGCC